GAACCGGAAGGCUUGGGAGAGCCUGAAGGUUCCGAUCGAUCCGGUGCGGGCGGCUUGGGAGAGCCUUCCUCACGGAUCCUCAAGGGGAGAACCACCGAUGGAGAACACCCUCCUCAUCGGACUGUCGCGGCAGAUGAUGCUCG
rnacentral:ncRNA from 1 species